rnacentral:lncRNA from 1 species
AGCAUACCUACAUAACAGCACCUUCAGCAUAACUCUGCUCUUCCAUGCUGGUAAAAAUCCCUGCCUCUCUGCAGCCAGGUUUCUUGGAUUCAGCCAAAAAGAGACUGAACAGACUACUGGUUGCUCACGUUCUGGUCUCUGAGAAUUGGAGGUUGCUACUACUCUUCACAUUGCUCAUCCAGAAUAUCAGAAUGAAAGCAGCUACUGUUGAAGAUGACCCCUCUCCCACGAUCCUCCGGAUGAAAACUGGAAGCUCUGAGGUGUAAUUAGAGCAUUCACAGGAAGAAAGCCAAG